rnacentral:snoRNA from 1 species
CCCUUCUACAAAGGCGUGUCUAUAAUUCCUUAUCUUUGGACAUGUGAAUAUUGGAGGCAAAGAAAUGUGGACUUGGAGAAAUCUGGGGCCAGCUUGCUCUCUGCAGGCUCAAGAUCAACCAUCCUACAUAG